UCUAAGGAGUAUUCUUGUUGUUCUUAUCUAUUCCGAAUGCGUUCGUAGCUCAGCUGGUUAGAGCACACGCCUGAUAAGCGUGAGGUCGGUGGUUCAAGUCCACCUGGACGCACCCAUAUAUGGGGGAUAUAGCUCAGUUUGGGAGAGGGACGCACCUUGCACUGCGUAGGUCAGCGGUUCGGAUCCCCGCUUAUCUCCCACCAUGUAUUUUUUUUUAUGGACCCUUGGAAACUGUAUAGUAGAUCAAAAACAAACAAGAAUAAAGAACAAAGAACUCUAGUUUCUAGAGUUAGCUGUCAAAGAAAAAAACAA
rnacentral:tRNA from 1 species